rnacentral:rRNA from 1 species
AACGAACGCUGGCGGCAGGCCUAACACAUGCAAGUCGAACGGACCCUUCGGGGUUAGUGGCGGACGGGUGAGUAACACGUGGGAACGUGCCCUUUGGUUCGGAACAACUCAGGGAAACUUGAGCUAAUACCGAAUGUGCCCUUUGGGGGAAAGAUUUAUCGCCAUUGGAGCGGCCCGCGUCUGAUUAGCUAGUUGGUGGGGUAAUGGCUCACCAAGGCGACGAUCAGUAGCUGGUCUGAGAGGAUGAUCAGCCACAUUGGGACUGAGACACGGCCCAAACUCCUACGGGAGGCAGCAGUGGGGAAUCUUGCGCAAUGGGCGAAAGCCUGACGCAGCCAUGCCGCGUGAAUGAUGAAGGUCUUAGGAUUGUAAAAUUCUUUCACCGGGGACGAUAAUGACGGUACCCGGAGAAGAAGCCCCGGCUAACUUCGUGCCAGCCGCCGCAGUAGCAC